GGAUUGCGAAUGGGGGAACCCUGACGCAGCGACGCCGCGUGCGGGAUGAAGGCCUUCGGGUUGUAAACCGCUUUCAGCAGGGACGAAGCGGAAGUGACGGUACCUGCAGAAGAAGCGCCGGCUAACUACGUGCCAGCAGCCGCGGUAACACGUAGGGCGCGAGCGUUGUCCGGAAUUAUUGGGCGUAAAGAGCUCGUAGGCGGCCUGUUGCGUCCGCUGUGAAAGCCCGGGGCUUAACCCCGGGUCUGCAGUGGAUACGGGCAGGCUAGAGGUAGGUAGGGGAGAAUGGAAUUCCCGGUGUAGCGGUGAAAUGCGCAGAUAUCGGGAGGAACACCGGUGGCGAAGGCGGUUCUCUGGGCCUUACCUGACGCUGAGGAGCGAAAGCGUGGGGAGCGAACAGGAUUAGAUACCCUGGUAGUCCACGCCGUAAACGUUGGGCGCUAGGUGUGGGAUCCUUCCACGGAUUCCGUGCCGCAGCUAACGCAUUAAGCGCCCCGCCUGGGGAGUACGGCCGCAAGGCUAAAACUCAAAGAAAUUGACGGA
rnacentral:rRNA from 1 species